UCUAUCUGUAAAGUUGCCUCCCUCUCUGUACCAGGAAGAAGAAAGGAGAUGACCUUCUCUCUAAAAACUCUUAAUCAAUACCAAAGACAAGGACUUAAAAUCUGCAUUUUAUUGUGCUACUCUGGUAACCUCCUGGAGCUAACUUCCCUCCCCCUCCCAACGCUGGCAUUUCUUAAUGAUUAAACAUCUUUCCUUAGGCUAGGAACUGAUUGCUGAGCUCACCUGUGACCGCCCAGCUCCAGACAAUCGACUUGCCUCCAGCUACGCCCUCUGAGACAGCAGACCACUACCUGCUGUGUCCAUCAAGCACUGUGCCGACAGGGCAAUCUUGUGACUAUUGCGGGAGGGACAUUUCAAUCACAUGUGAAACACCCCGUUUGGGGGUAUAUAACCACUCUGGCACCCCACUUCUUGGGUGCCCUUUCUUCCUUCGGGAAGAAAGGCCCCGGGCCAUGGUUCCUCAUAAAGCUUUGUUUAAUUUUCUCUUGCUAUUCUGUCUCAUGUGAAUUUAAUUCGUUCUCCAGCCAGACGAACCCCUAUUUGGGGAGAAGAAAUGUCCUCCUCCCCUACAGUUUUGGCGUAGUUGGCAGGCUGAAAUUUCCCUGGCUUAACACUGCUUGCUCCUAGACUGCUGCGGCUGAGAGAUCCCAGACCCCUGACGAGAGCCGGCAAGAGAUCUCAGAAGUGCUCCAGACACCCGUGGGAAACUCCAAAAGUUGGUGAUCCGUCCUGCUACCAGUCCCGCACAGCUACGAGUGGCUGCACGGAGGGUGCUCCAUAACCGGCUUGAAGCUGAGGAUGCAAAGGAAGACAAGAUGAUGAAAAGGCAGGCCGCCCUGCUCGCUGUGGCCCACCAGUCUCCUCAAGGAUACAGCAGCCCCUGAGAAGCGAGAGAUUCCCCUACAUGAUUCAAGCAGGGCUAACUCGGAACUAUGGGCCCAAGGACAGGUGGAGUGAGCAGCCGGUGCCACGCCAGGAAAGGUAAAACGGAAGCAGGACCUUGAAACCUCCCUCCAUAAGUUAUUCAGAUCAAAAUUCUCCCUGGAACCUCCUGAGUUGGCUGAGAACAGAGCAGCAAAGUCCACAGCAUUCUCCAAAGUUAGAGGAAGAUUAGCCCUGAGCUAACAUCUGCUGCCAAUCCUCUUUUUGCUAAGGAAGACUGGCCUUGAGCUAACAUCUGUGUCCAUCUUCCUCUACUUUAUAUGUGGGACGUCUGCCAUAGAAUGGCCUGCCAAGUGGUCCCAUGUCUGCACUGGGGAUCCAAACUCGUGAAGCCUGGGCCACUGAAGUGGAACGUGUGAACUUCACUGUUGUGCCACU
rnacentral:lncRNA from 1 species